rnacentral:rRNA from 1 species
CCUACGGGAGGCAGCAGUGAGGAAUAUUGGUCAAUGGGCGCAAGCCUGAACCAGCCAUGCCGCGUGCAGGAUGACGGUCCUAUGGAUUGUAAACUGCUUUUGUACGGGAAGAAACACUCCUACGUGUAGGAGCUUGACGGUACCGUAAGAAUAAGGAUCGGCUAGCUCCUGCCAGCAGCCGCGGUAAU